rnacentral:rRNA from 1 species
AUGGACCACUGUUGGACCUCUGAGCGGUGUGCUCGCCAUGGACUCCCACAUGAUCCUUACUACAAAUUUUGCUGCCAAGAGCUCAAGACCAUAGACCACCUCCUAGUCCAAUGCGCCUUCUCCAGAAUCACUUGGCAUGAAAUCCUCUCUUGGUGCAGACUGCCAGCUUCUCCGUCAACUGCCUCAGCAAGCUUCUACGCCUGGUGGUCGGCCACCAGCAAUGCCACUCCGGCCAGCCUUCGCAAAGGAGCAAACUCCUUCAUUUCCCUUGUCGCCUGCUCCUUGUGGAAGCACCACAAUGCUACGGUUUUUGAUAACAUUCAGCCAUCGAGCAACGAUCUCGCGCGCACUAUCCGGGAUGAGGCUCGCCUGGGGCCCAUGCCAGUGCCAAAGGCCUAG